rnacentral:rRNA from 1 species
GAUGAACGCUGGCGGCGUGCCUAAUACAUGCAAGUCGAGCGAACGGACGAGAAGUUUGCUUCUUUGUUUUUAGCGGCGACCGGGGGGGUACCACUUGGUAAACCUCCUUAUAAGCUGGGAAAAAUUUGGGGAACCGGGGGUUAUACCGGGUAAAAUUUUUAAACCCAUUGGUUAAAAGUUAAAGACCGGCUUUCUUGUCCUUAAAGGUUGAUCCGCGCUGCAUUAGCUAGUUGGUAAGGUAACGGCUUACCAAGGCAACGAUGCAUAGCCGACCUGAGAGGGUGAUCGGCCACACUGGAACUGAGACACGGUCCAGACUCCUACGGGAGGCAGCAGUAGGGAAUCUUCCGCAAUGGGCGAAAGCCUGACGGAGCAACGCCGCGUGAGUGAUGAAGGUCUUCGGAUCGUAAAACUCUGUUAUUAGGGAAGAACAUAUGUGUAAGUAACUGUGCACAUCUUGACGGUACCUAAUCAGAAAGCCACGGCUAACUACGUG